rnacentral:lncRNA from 1 species
AUGAACUUCAGGCUCUUCCCUAGAAGAAGCAUUGGAUUGAGUAAAGUUUUUUAUUUUAUUUUUCAUUGUGGUUGUAUAUUGAUAUUGAUUGAGUAAUGUUUUUUUUUGCAUUGUAUGUGUGUUUAAUUAAAAUGUGUUUUACCAUUCCUUACAAAUAAUAGAAUAACAAAAUUUUGACAAACUGAAAUUUAUCCAAUAAAAUUAUUUAUUUCAAGAUGAGUAAUUGCCCAUAAUCGAAUUUAAGUAACUAAAAUCUGAUAAUAGAAUUUGUUAGUUUUGUUGCGAUAUUUCUGUUUAAUUUCUGUUUUUUUGAAAUGAUUUGUUUGAUAAGCAGGGUGUAGUGGCUAACUUGAAGAAUCAAAUACUGUGGUUUCAAAAGGAAAAUCAAAUACUUAAGAUGAAAGUCCAAAAGUGAGCUCUAUAAUUUUCUGCACAUUUUUCAUGUCUUCAAUUUAUAUUUUAGCAUUUACUGUUAUUU